AGGUAAGCUACUAAGAGCGAAUGGUGGAUGCCUUGACUGGUAAAGGCGAUGAAGGACGUACUAGACUGCGAUAAGCUACGGGGAGCUGUCAAGAAGCUUUGAUCCGUAGAUUUCCGAAUGGGGCAACCCAAUGUAUAGAGAUAUACAUUACCUAUAUAGGAGCGAACGAGGGGAAUUGAAACAUCUUAGUACCCUCAGGAAAAGAAAUCAAUAGAGAUUGCGUCAGUAGCGGCGAGCGAAAGCGCAAGAGGGCAAACCCAGUGCUUGCACUGGGGGUUGUAGGACUGCAAUGUGCAAGAGCUGAGUUUAGCAGAACAUUCUGGAAAGUAUAGCCAUAGAGGGUGAUAGUCCCGUAUGCGAAAAACAAAGCUUAGCUAGCAGUAUCCUGAGUAGGGCGGGACACGAGGAAUCCUGUCUGAAUCCGGGUCGACCACGAUCCAACCCUAAAUACUAAUACCAGAUCGAUAGUGCACAAGUACCGUGAGGGAAAGGUGAAAAGAACUGAGGUGAUCAGAGUGAAAUAGAACCUGAAACCAUUUGCUUACAAUCAUUCAGAGCACUAUGUAGCAAUACAG
rnacentral:rRNA from 1 species